UCACACCCCAUGGCCUCCUCUCGUGCACAGAACCCCCAUCGCUUCCCGGCCACACACACACACCCAGAUUCUUUUCUUCCACUAGCUUGGCUCCUCCUUCCCUGCAGCUGCCAGUAUAUACAGUCGGCAACCAAGCCAACAAGACUACUACUCAUUAAUUUGCUCCAUCUCCGUCUCCGGUAGAUCUAUCUGAUCUCUGCUUGUAAGGAAGGAUGGUUGGGCCGAUCGUGAUCGCGUCGGCGGGGCUGGGGAUGCUGGCGGGCGUGGCGAUGGCGAACCGGACCAUGGGAGACUCGGGGCUGCCGGCGGCGUCCAGGUGGGACGCGCGCCCGCGGUGCGCCACGUGCGCCGGCACCGGCCGGGAGGAGUGCCUCUGCAACCGCUGGUCCGACGGCGACGUGGGCUGCGGCUCCUGCUCCGGGUCCGGCCGCAAGCGCUGCCGCAGCUGCGGGGGAUCCGGCACCGGCCGGCCCAUGCCGGCCCGCCUCCUCGUCAAGCAGCAAAAACCCCCCACCGCGCACGGCCGAGACUACAACUGAUGAUCGAUGUCCGUCCAUGCGCGCGUGCAUGGAUCGAUCUCCGUUCAGUUGAUUCCGGGAAGGAAUUAAAGGUGCAAUUACAGUAAGCACAGCAGCAAACACAAGUAACAUGUGUGUCCAUCCAUUCCUUCCUUCCUGUGGAUGCACGAUAUACGUUCCUAGCUCCUUCGGCUUCAGCUUCAACGCGGGCACUAGUACAUGAUCUGCAAGCUAUAUCCACUCUACUCGGGGUCGGGGGUUGUUGAAGUUUGGGCUGAUAUACGUCACCACUUCAACGACAGUUCUUGGAAACUACAGAAAACUGCAACAGCAAAAAGAGCGAAAAAAGGUUGUACUACUUGAGAUCUAACUAGGCGAAGGGGAAGGACUUAAUUUAGGUCUUAGGCAGGUGUUCAGAUAUUUUUUUGCCAGGGGAAGAUUGUAUAGUUAAUUCAAUUCUGGAUGUAAGAUAUACACGUGUCUCGGAUAGGCUCGUCAAUAUACAGAUUGUGGCCUUCAGUUCCUUGAUUC